UUUGCCAUAUCAAUAAGCGGAGGAAAAGAAACCAACCGGGAUUGCCUUAGUAACGGCGAGUGAAGCGGCAAAAGCUCAAAUUUGAAAUCUGGUACCUUCGGUGCCCGAGUUGUAAUUUGUAGAAGGCGACUCUGGGGCUGGUCCUUGUCUAUGUUCCUUGGAACAGGACGUCAUGGAGGGUGAGAAUCCCCGUAUGGCGAGGAUCCCCAUUCUUUGUAGAGUGCCUUCGAAGAGUCGAGUUGUUUGGGAAUAA
rnacentral:rRNA from 1 species